AUUGAACGCUGGCGGCAUGCUUUACACAUGCAAGUCGAACGGUAACAGGCCGCAAGGUGCUGACGAGUGGCGAACGGGUGAGUAAUGCAUCGGAACGUGCCCAGUCGUGGGGGAUAACGCAGCGAAAGCUGCGCUAAUACCGCAUACGAUCUCUGGAUGAAAGCGGGGGACCGAAAGGCCUCGCGCGAUUGGAGCGGCCGAUGGCAGAUUAGGUAGUUGGUGGGGUAAAGGACCACCAAGCCAACGAUCUGUAGCUGGUCUGAGAGGACGACCAGCCACACUGGGACUGAGACACGGCCCAGACUCCUACGGGAGGCAGCAGUGGGGAAUUUUGGACAAUGGGCGCAAGCCUGAUCCAGUAAUGCCGCGUGCAGGAAGAAGGCCUUCGGGUUGUAAACUGCUUUUGUACGGAACGAAACGGUCCGGGUUAAUACCCUGGGCUAAUGACGGUACCGUAAGAAUAAGCACCGGCUAACUACGUGCCAGCCGCCGCAGUAAAAC
rnacentral:rRNA from 1 species